AUAACCAAAUUGCGUAUGUGCAUUUCUCAGACUUCAGAAGAGGAAACAUCAGAGUAGAGUCCGACAAAACUGAUACAUCUGAGUAUUUUGAAACCCAGAACACCAACCACGGUAAGACCUUUCUGUUUCUGGUUCAACCCUAGAAAUCUAUCUUAGAUAAGUUAGUGUAAUAUUUGGCUGUAAGUCAAAGUUAAAAAAACGAAAUACGGUUUCUUUAACACUGUUAAAUCUUCACUAAAGAGCUUAAGUUAAGUUCAGCAAAAUGUCUUAAGUCAAAAAUACAAUGAAAAAAACAUAAUUAAAAGAGUUCUAAUUAUAAAAUGGUUGAUAAUUAAUGUAAGAAAAAUGUUUUAAAAGGCCAAAAUAAAAGGUAGUAAGUCCCAGUUGUAAGGUGGUAAGUUAAGAUUAAGAGUCAUAAUUAUAAAAUGACUUCAAAGUUAUAAGAAAAAUGAGAAAUAUAUAUCACAAUCUUAAGACAAAUAUAACUAUAUGAUAGAAAGUCAUAAUAUCAAGACAGUGAGUUAUGACUGGGAAAUUUUUCAGAAUUAUCACAAAAAAAUAAAGCUAUAACAUAGUCAUAAAAUUGUAAGUUACAAUUAUGAAAGUAUGUCAUGAUUAUAACAGAGUCAGUGUUAUAAGAGAGAACAUUGUGAUUAUAAGAAAAGUUUAAAUUAUGAAACAUUUUGAUGAGCCUGUCAUCAAAUCAAAUAUACAGACUGUUCAUGAAAACAAAGACUGUCUGAAUGAAAGGGUAUGUUUGAUUAUCAAAUUUAAUGAAGAUGUCUCAGAGCUGAAACUUUUAGAGAGGACUUCAGCAGUUUACACAGAGAUGUCCUGAACUGAUUUUUAUAUGAUUUGGCAUGAACAAUAAGAUGCCACAUUUUGCUGUUUCUAUCCUAGAAAGUCUGUGUAGAUGAGACCUGAGAUUUUCAACAGCAUUUACAGAGGCUGGUAGCUUAUUUACACUCUACUGACCUGAAGAGCUGCUUUACUUUUACUUUCAUUCUGACUCAAGAGCUUGUUAUCUUGACGAUCAUUCCCCAGUGUGUUUUUAAAUGGUCACGUAACAUCAAGAGUGAUUACACAGAGCCGAAGGAAAAGAGAUGUUAUCAAACAGUUUUUCAAAUGAACUUUGUUUGAGAGCCAAGGCAUCUUUUUUAAGUGGACUUUCUAUUUAAAAGUUUGCAUGUUCAGGAAUACUGUUCAACUCAUUUUGAUUUCAUUGAUUAACUUAUUUGUAUAGAAAGAGGACAGGAAAGCACUCACAGGGUAAUGUUUUGGAUUUUUUCAAAUGUAACCCAGAGAUUUCUUACAAGGAUUUUUUUUUCACAGUUUUCUAGGCUAAUUAUGAUUUUCAGGAAAUAUAAGCAGUUAUUUCCUUUUUUUUCUCUGCAGCCAUGGGAGGGUUGUAUUCAUACUUUCCAGAGCCAAACCCUGAUCCAGAGCCAUGUAAUAUUAUUUUUGAAUAUUAAACAAAUCUUUUAUCAAAAUAAAAUUUUUUGGAAAAAUUCUGACUAAACCUAAAAUUUGUUUUACUUUCAGUGUUCAGUGAGCCAUGGCGGCAACUCAACUGGAGGUAAGUGCUCUCUAAUGUACUAUUUUCCUAAAUCCCUGGGUGUGUGAUUUACAAAGUACCAGUGGAUAUACAAAACCAAAUCCUGACAGCAAAGGGUUAAGAUUCUGAGUUAAGAUCUGUUUUUUGUUGUUGUUGUUGUUGUUUUUUAACUCUCUCGUUUACUCCUCUGCUUUGUUCUUAUGUAUGUCUGUGUUUACCUGGGUAAGCACUUAGUAAACCUUUUUGAAUGGUGCAGUAUAAAUACAUUGGUUAUUAGUAUUAUUAAUAUUACCAUUAAAAUUACUAUAACUGUUAUUAUUAUCCCUGUAAUUACUCAGCUACCAACUAAAUAAACAAAUAAGUUAGCUCCAAGAAUUGAUUAAGAGAUGAUUUUGUUGGUCUAAAAAUGAUUCACUUUUACUCCUUCAGUUUUAAUGUUUGGUGCUAGUUCAUGCUCACUGCACACUUCUCUCUUGUCAAACUUGUGUUUCUGCUUUUCUGACAUAUGCAGACACACACCUUCCUCCUCCCCCCACUAUCCUCUCCCCACACAUGGCUGCAUGACAGUUUGCACUGCUGCUGCAAAAAGAGCUCAAGAUACAUCAGUCUAUGUCCACCUUUUGCAAUAUCUGCAAAUUCCAUGUGCACACAACUCUGCUGCACAUUUAUCUGAGCUAAUAAAAAGUGAAAAUGUUAUGAAGAAUUUAAAAAAGGAUAGGUCUCAGUUAAAGAUUUUUCUUCUUGCAAGAAAGAGCAGUCACAAACAGAGAGUCUGUAAGCAAAUGCUCAGAGGACUGUCCUCUGACUUUUUUUAGACACAGGGCAUUACCACUUAACAUCAGUCAUAACGAAAGCAUGCUCAUCCAUGACAAACUGUUGGCAACUCUUGCUUUCUUUGUUUUGCAGACUGGGUUCAGCUUUUGUUUCUCAGCCUUGACUCAGGGUCAGAACAGAGAUAGACAGUAACAGUGUGUUGCACAGUAUAUUUCUAUAAGAGCUGUCCUUAAAUUACCUUUGAUGACAUGAGUACAUGUACAAGGACUGGAUAAGAAGAUAUUUGUCCAGAGUCACCAUUCAUAGUUCCCCCAUACAUCUGGAAGUCCAUCUGUGUGCACUACUUACAUAAAACACAUAAGAACUAAUGUGGGACUUUUAUGAGAUAGUCACAUGACAGUUUGUGUGUACACUGACACCUCGCCUGAUCCAUCCUUUCUCUCCCUCCAUAGUUUCACAUCCUGCACUGAAUGUGCGUCACUUAAUUAUGCAAAACUAAAAUAAUGUGUGGUUGUUAUCAUUUUAUGUCACACAUCUUUCCUCCUCUGAACAGGGACAGACGAGGCAUUCUGGACUAUUUGAAGAACUACAAACCUAAGACCCCAGAACAAGUGAUCAGAAUUCUUCUUUAUGGGCCACCUGGAAGUGGAAAGUCCAGUUUCAUCAACUCUGUUAACAGUCUCUUACGUGAAAGACCGUACAUCAACGCUUUGGCAAGCCAUAACUACAGCAGAAGUUUCACCACAACGGUAUGACAACUUUUUUGUUGUAACAUAAAGGAAAUGUCUCAAAUUUGUAAUGAUAAUGAAAAAUCUACUAACUCCCAGUGCAUGCCUUUUGUCAUGAUAAUCUUUACUUUUAUUACUUUAAGGGAUGAUUUAGUUGUUUUCAAGUGUGUUAAUUUCAGGUGCUCGUCAAUGUUAAGUGUAUUUGCCAAAGGGAUCCCACAUGACUUGGGCCCCCUUUGCUGAGAUACCACAUAGAGGACUACUGCAGGUGGGCUCAGCUCCAACAAGUGAUUUCAAUCAUUUUAAUCCCCAACCAAAGCACUAAUUUUGGUGUCCACUCUAGGUGAGACUUCAAAAUCAAAGUGUUGCCUUGAUUCACAGAGAUCUUCUACCACAAUCUGUGGUUGGCUUGUUCAUACUGCAGUAUGUCUUUUAUUUAGCUUCAUGGGAAAAAGUCAUGUUAUAGAGGGCUAAAAGGCACAACCAAGCAAUUGAGGCUACAAGAUCCUUAAAGGUUAGCUGGUCAUCAAUCAUGACACCCUAGUUUCCGGACAGACUUUCUGUGCAUGAGUUUCUCUGAUUCAAACUGGGUAUCGGUCAGAGUCGAAAAUGGUGUUUCUUCAUCCAUUCUGAGAUAUCAGAAAAGCAUCAUGAGAUUUGAGCUGAAAGAGUUGUGUGUGGAUGACAGAAAGAGCUGGGAAUUGUCUGCAUAGUAAUUGUACAAAAAACAAUGAGAGACAAUAAUUACGCCAAGAAGGAAUGAAGACUUGAGUUUUAGACUUGGACUUGAGUCCAACUUACGUCGUAUACAGGACAGGCCAAAAGUUUGGACACACCCUCUCAUUUAAUGCAUUUUCUUUAUUCUCAUUACUAUUUGUACUGUAGAUUCUCACUGAGGGCAUCAAAACUAUGAAUGAACAUAUGUGGAAUCAUGUGCUUAAGAAAAAAGUGUGAAAUAACGGAAAACAUGUUUAAGUUUUAGAUUCCUCAAAGUAGCCACCCUUUGCUUUUUUGAUAGCGCUGCAAACUUUUGCUGUUCUCUCAAUGAGCUUCAUGAGGUAGUCACCUGUAUUGGUUUUUACUUCACAGGUGUGCCUUUACCAAGUACUUCUGUCAUCAAGAGCAAAGGGUGGCUAUUUUAUCACACCUGAUUUUCAGCUUCUGGUGCAUGAGCAUCCACACAUAGACUAUAACUAAGAAGGCCACUCAAGCAUAUUUAUUGCCCAAUUUUAGCCUUUUUUCAUCCCCAUGAGAUCUCUGUCCUGAAAUUAAAAUGAUCACUCAUUACCCCUGUGCAUGUUGGGAAAGUUCUGAUGAGAGAUGUAGGCCCCACCUUUUAAUGUUGGCAAAUGACUGUGGUCACAGUCUCAGAGAUAGCUUUGCACUUUCAUUCGUGGCUAUACAAUUCUUAUUUUGCUAUUUUUUAAUCUAUGGGAGACUGGACUGGAUCUUGCUGUUCAGAGACUUUGACUUGGACUCAGAGAAUGAAGAGGAAAGAUUUAAAUUAGGGGUGGGCCAAUGCAUCAGUUCUUCAAUGCAUCACGAUGGAACACGUGACGAUCAAUUAGGAUUAAAAAAUAUUCAAAGUUGAUUAUUUCCCAUGACGUUGAAAUUACAGAAACACCAGUAAGUGUUUAUUUGAGCAGCUUUUUAGGUGAAAAAAAGUGUUGGAUCAUUGGUCUAUUAAAAAUAAUAUAAUGGAGGUAAAUUUGUUUACUUUGUUUUAUGGAUGCUGACAAAUAUAUUUUUAAAAAUCCUGUAUAGAAAAAAUAUGCAUUAAUAAUUCUAAUAAUCUUUAAAAUCAUAAUAAUCAUUACAAUUGUUUGAUUAUCAAAUUGUAGCACCCUGAAUUGUGAUCGGAUUGAAUUGUUAGGUGCCAAAGAUGGCUAACCUCAACUCACUACACUCUCCUCCAUCUGUCUUUAAAAGUUCAAAACCUACAGGAUCCACAAAGGGACCUCAGGGGAAUAUUACCCUUUUGUGUUCAAUUACAUCAUGGGCCUGGAAAACAGUGGAGGGGUCCAUCCAGAUGAUGUCAAACUGGCUUUGAAAGGACAUGUCAUGGAAAAUUACGAGGUACAUUUACUGCAAACUUUGCACAUUUUUCCUCCAAAGAGAUUUAAAUGCACCAUUUAUUAAAUCAGAAUUCUGUCUUAGUUAACAUGUGUUUCAAUCUAAUGUUCUUCAAAUGAAUUGAAAACUGUUUUCCAGUUCAACCCUGAAUCCAAGUUGACUGAGGAGAAUCCGUUCUUUGUCCAAAAUCCAUCUGGGAAUGACAAAGUGAAUGUUCUGGUUUGUGUUGUUGAUGCCUGCCCGAUAUCCCUAAUAGAAGAUGAAACUCUGAGAAAGUUACGUGACAUCAGGAAGGAAGCCAUUCGCCUGGGUAAGAACAGAAAAACUUUUCCAAUAUUUUUCUCAAGGGCUAGACAAAACUUAGAAAAUAAAAACACAGUUUAAACUUUGACAGAUCUUCAAACAGUUCCUCUACCUGGUUUUGAUUUAUGUAUCUGAAGAAGAACAGUGGCUUUUGAAAUAUUUUUUCUCUCAAGGGACUCAAAGUUUUGUGUUUGACAGGGAUCCCUCAAGUGGCCAUCCUCACCCACAUUGAUGACGUCUGUCCUGUCAACAAAGAUUUAAAAACCGUCUACAGGUCCAGGUUUCUGAAGAAGAACGUAUGCUUACUUGUUGAUUUCAUAAUUUUUUUAAGAGGGAAUCAUACUUUAAAAAAGUAGUCUACAAAUAACACACCACUGGGCUCCUUCGCUCAGCACUGAUUUUUGAUUAAAAAUCAUAAUUUAUAAAAAUAAAUCAAUAAAAAUGAUUAUAAAAAUAGUGUUUUUAUCUUUUAAAACCAAAGUUGAUUAAAUACUUUGACAGAAAAACCCUUGCCCUCCCUAUGCAGGUCAUUCCACAGACCUUAGUGGGCACAAGUUCAUUUGAUCCAAGCCAGAUCUGAAUCUGUGUCCUCUAGUCAGGAUGACAGGAAGAGCUCAGUAUCAUCUGCAUAGCAGUGAUUUGAGAAUUCAUGAGUUUGGAUUAGUGCACUGAGUGAGAUUGUGUAUGAUACCCUAGAACAGUGGUUCUUAACCGGGGUUCUAUCGAACCCUAGGGGUUCGGUGAGUCGGUCUCAGGGGUUCGGCGGAGCCUCCGCCGCGGUAGCCUGGCUGGGCCAUCCUGUUGCGUCAAUCACUUGAUGUUCCUUCCCACCACAGUCUGGACUUCGGCCCAUAGAGAGCAUGUAUUCCCAAUCAGAAAAUAACUGGGCCAAUCAGAGACCGUGUUUCCACUGUUACCCGGACAACAGGGAAAGGCAGCCCCUGAUUGGUCCAUGUGUAGUGGUGACGUCUAACACAUGCUGCAGGACUUUUCAAAGCGCUGUUCAUUCAGAACACCGUUAAUUCUGCAGUUGACUCUGCAAAGUCGGCAGAAAUCGUUUAAAUCAGCAGAAGACGUCGGAUAUAAACAAUGUCUUGAAUUUGGAAAAAAAUCAUAUUUAUUUAUCACUAAAGAAGGGUUCGGUGAAUGUGCAUUUGAAACUGGGGGGUUAGGUACCUCAAACAAGGUUAAGAACCACUGCCCUAGAAGAUUCCUUUUUGAGGAAGGACACAAACCUAGAGACCCCACCAAAAGCCAGGCUGUAAGGUCCUUCCAAAGUCCUGAACUCCUCGUCUUGGUCCUUUCAAAGUCCCCAUGCUCUAAUAGAGGUCACUCAGAGUCCUUUUCUCCUCAGAGAGGUCAUCUGAAAGCCCUGAUAUCCUCAUAGAGGUUACGCCAAAGUCACUACAUUUCACCCUGAUUGGCAGUGACUGUCCUGAUCAGGCCAACCAGGAAACCAGAGACAUAUAGUCCAGAUCCAGUCUUUAUUUGAGACCAGUGUUUUUCUGUCAAAACAUACAGUGGCACCAGACUAGUAUCAUAGACUCUGAGUUUAAUUGAAUAGAUAAAUGAAACAGCCAUUCUGAAUCAGGCCUCAUUACUUCUUGUUUUAAAGAAAGGUCACUGCUCUUCCUUCUUUAAAAUUCAGCUGCUAUUAUCUGCUUAUAAUAAUCAGAUCUAAACCUCUUUGGUCCAAUUGAUCAGCAGUACAGUGCGCAUUCAACUGUGUUGUGAUUUUACAGAGCUCUGGGCUGUAAUGUUUACUGAGAGAAUUUGAGCUUUUGUUUAAAUUUGUUUCACUAGAUGGAGGAGCUCAGUGCAAAGAUGGGGAUCCCGAUGAACUGCAUCUUCCCGGUGAAGAACUACCAUGAAGAGAUUGACACCAACAAUGACAUUGAUGUUCUGCUCCUGAGUGCUCUGAAAAACAUCAUCCACUUUGGAGAAGACUACCUUAACCCCUAACUGCAGUAUUCAGCUGUGUGAUCCAUGCUGUUGAAACCCACAGAGCUAAAUGUUUAAUGUUUUGACCAUGUAAUUUAAUAUUGAAUCAUUGUUUUCUGAAGUGUCUCUUUGCUGUGGGCCAAAGUUGAGCUUUAUGUGAUCAGCUUAGCAAACUUCUUUUUUCUGCUUUCAGUGCGUUUAUAGUUAUCUCCUGCUUCUGUGAUUUUUACUCUGUAAAUUUUUAAAAAAUGCAAACAUUGAUUUCAAAUGUAUUCAAGACUUUACAUUCACAAUAAGAAACAGACCUUCUUGGUCUAAACUCCUGUCUGACAUUUGUCUUUAUUUUUGGUGUCAAUGAGUAAAACCUGAUUUUUUUAAUGUUAUUAUAUAGAAAGCUACAUGUUAAAAUAUUUUUUAAAAAGAUGGUAAGAAUAUCUUUGCCUUGAGUUUGUAAUGACCUUCAUGACCUCAGACUUGUUUAGUCAGACAGUUUGGUUUUUAAGUGGACCGAAAAAGAUGGAGCAGAGUGUAACGCCACAAAGCUCCAGCAGAGGGCAGCAGGCUGUCAUCUUCUGAAGCUUUACCCUCUGUUAAGAGCUCACAUGAAAUCUCUGAGAGUUCAUGCAGAUCUACAUUUGAGACAGAAUCAAAUUUGUAAUUCACAUGGUCUGUCAUGAAAUUACUGAAUUUUCCUGGUAAAACGCUGAAAUUGAUCUUUAUAAGAUCACUGUGUUCAUAUCGGAUUUAGUUGUAAAAUAACUGAGGCCCUCUUAAAUAAAUUUUUAACAGUUUUCGAAAUACCUCAGGGAUAAUCACAAAUGUCAGGAGUUUAUUUUCCUAGGGGUCCAGCUUGAGAUCACAAAGAGUGAGACAAAUAUACAGGAGGUGCUUACCAUCAAAUGUAAAUCAUGGAUGUGACUUCAGUCAACAGUUUCUGGUCACUCGUCUUGUUCUAUGGUUUUCAUAUUCUGUCCAAAUAUGAACAAAGUUUGGUUACAGUUUGUCUCACUGUACAACCCCAGUUCAAAAAAGUGAAUACACCAUGUGAAAUUUGAUCAAAAACAGGUUUUGAACAAUUUAUCACUGAGAUAUUCAAUCAUUUGAUGAAAAAUAUGUUGGUUUGUUUUUAAGUUUUAUGCUAGCAGUACAUUUCAAAAAGUUGGAUGAGGACAAUAAAACACUGAAGUCAUCCGAAAGAUGAUCCAGGAGUCCAAAUUAAAUAAUUAAACCCAAUCCCAGAAAAAAUACAAAUAAAUCAAAACUACCGAUUUAAGAGUUCCAACCGCAGAGCAGGAUUGAAAUUUCGGGCAACAGAAGGAGGACAUGCACCCCCCCGACUUCGCCAGUGAAGGCUGGGAGAGAAGAUUUAUCAGUACCCUCACCAAACCAUCACAGCCUAAUGUUGGAGAUAGACAAGCACCUUACCCACGAGAAGCGCACCACGCCCACACAGACUCCAGGAGACAGCCUAGCUCCCGGUCACACCACACUGAACCCAGAGUCAACCACAGCAUACAAUAACUGAAUGGAUCGAUCCAGAUCACAGAUCACCUGAUAUCACCUGCAUACCUGAUUCUAAAGCCCAACACCACUCCACACCACACAGGCAGGACGCCAGCAGCCACUGCACACCUCUGUCUCCAUGAAGGAGGAAGAGGAAGAACCAAUGAGGCAUAUUUAUAAGCACCGGCCGGAAAUCGCCAGCCACACUGCGUCUUAUGGUAGGGAGUAUAGAUCCCUAUCAGACACAUGACAAAUGAGACAAAGACUGUCUUACUGCAAAUACUGACUGAAGAUCAUGGUGCAGUGUCCAUCCAACCUGUAGUUAGAAAAAUUGUAGUUAUUCUGUUUGGAUUGUACUCAAAGAGAACACAGGGAAGAUUAACCAAAGUUAGGAUUUAUGGCUGAGCUGAUAAAACUGACGCUUCCCAGUCAAAAUGUGAUGACUAAUGUUUAUCUGAUCGAGUGGUCCUGCAGUUCUUUCCUGCUGGCAAUAAACGAUUUUGUCUCUGUCUCUUUGAAAUGGAAAGGAUGGAAGGUUUGUCCUUUUGAGAAGGCUUCUUUGUCUUGUAUAGAGACAAGAGGUUUAAGAAAGAUUGUGAUUUGGUGUUUGGGUAGUUUGGGGUGAGAAAGUGGUUGCUUCUGCUACAACAAAGAGGCAGGAGUUGGUGUUAAAGGUCUAAAACAUCUCGUCUCUGGUGAGCAGAUGUAAGCCUUACAUUUCUUUUGGGGGAUGGGUUAAAAAAGUGGUCACCUCUGCUACAACAGAGAGGCAGGAAGAUGAAAGUAAAAUUAAAAUUUACGGGACAGGAUAUCCUGUGUGUGUGACAAAGUAUAACCGAAUUGCAAAUUUGCAUUUCUCAGACUUCAGAAGAGGAAACAUCAGAGUAGAGACUGAAAAAAAAUAAAGUUUUACACUGAUAGAUCUGAGUAUUUUGUGACCCAGAACCCCAACCACGGUAAGACUUUUCUGUUGUUUUCAUCCUGAGAAGUGGAUUUGUCCUUGAACAUUUACAACCUUGAAAUAUUAUUCUUCUUGAGUUAUUGUCAUUUAAAAUGUAUGUUUUUUUGUUUGUUUUUGAUAGAAUAUCAAAUAUUGUUACAAAUAUUCAAAAUUGAAUUUAAGCUUGAAGCUUUGAUGAAAUCUAUCUUAGAUAAGUUAGUGUAAAAUUUAGCUGUAAGACAAAUUUAAAAAACAAAAUACAGUUUCUUUAACACUGUUAAAUCUUCCAUAAGAGUUUUAGUUAAGUUCAGCGAAAUGUCUUAAGUCAAAAAUACAAUGAAAAUUCACAAUUAAAAGAGUCCUAAUUAUAAGAUGGUUGAUACUUAAUGUAAGAAAAAUGUCAUAAAAGUCAAAAUAAAAGCAAGUAAGCCACAGUUGUAAGGUGAUAAGUUAAGAUUAAGAGUCAUAAUUAUGAAAUUUAAAAAGAAAUUAGAUCAUAAGAUAGCCAUAACUUUUAACUUACAAUUAUGAAAAUAUGUCCUGAUUAUAACAAACAGAGUCAGAGUUAUAAGAGAGAACAUUGUGAUUAUAAUAAAAGUUUAAAUUAGGAAACAUUUUGAUGAGCCUGUCAUCAAAUCAAAUUUGCAGACUGUUCAUGAAAACAAAGACUGUCUGAAUGAAAGAGUAUGUUUGAUUAUAAAAUUUAAUGAAGAUGUCUCAGCACUUGGUCUGAGUCCAAGUUUAUUACCCAAACAUUGAGCUUUUAUCUUCUGUGCUCUGAGCUGAAACUUUUAGAGAGGACUUCAGCAGUUUACACAGAGAUGUCCUUAACUGACUUUUCUAUAAGUUGGCACGAACAAUAAGAUGUCACAUUUUGCUGUUUUUAUCCUAAAAGGCUGUGUAGAUGAGACCUUAGAUUUUCAAUCUGAAGAGCUGCUUUACGUUUACUUUCAUCUUGACUCUGGAGCUUGUUAUCUUGACGACCAUUCCCCAGUGUGUCUUUAAAUGGUCACAUAACAUCAAGUGAUUACAUAAUGCCGGCAUAAACAGAGCCAAAAGAAAAGAGAUGUUAUCAAACAGUUUUUUUAAUGAGUUUUGUUUGAGAGCCGGGGCUUUCUUUUUUAAAUGCAUUAUCAAUUUACUACCUGCACAUUCACGAAUGCUGUUAAACUCAUAUACCUUUUAUUUCAUUGAUCAACUUAUUUGUACAGGAAGAGGACAGGAAAGCGCUCACAGGGUGAUGUUUUGGACUUUUUUCAGGAAAUAAAAGCAGAGUUAUAUUUACUUUUUCUUUCACUGAAUCCAUGGGAGGGCGGAAGUCAAAACCUGAUCCAGAGCCAUGUAAUAUUAUUUUUCAAUAUUAAACAAAUCUUUUGUCAAAACAAUUUUUUGGUAACGUUCUGACUUACCUUAAAAUUCGUUUUUCUUUCAGUGUUCAGUGAGCCAUGGCGGAAACUCAACUGGACGUAAGUGCUCUCAAAUGUUCUAUUUUUAUAAAUCACUGUGUGUGUGAUUUACAAAGUGCCAGUGGAUAUACAAAACCAAAUCCUGACAGCAAAGGGUUAACUUUUUUGGGUUCAUUCUGAGUUAAGAUCUAUUUGUUAUGAAGAAUUUAAAAAAGGAUAGGUCUGAGUUAAAGAUUUUUAUUCUUGCAAGAAAGAGCAGUCACAAACAGAAAGUCUGUAAGCAAGUGCUCAAAGGACUGUUCUCUGACUUUUUUAGACACAGGGCGUUACCAGUUUACAUCAGUCAUAACGAAAACAUGCUCAUCUAUGACAAACCGUUGUCAUCUCUUGCUUUCUUUGUUUUGCAGACUGGGUUCAGCUUUUGUUUCUCAGUCUUGACUCAGGGCCAGAACAGAGAUAGACAGUAACAGUGUGUUACACAGCAUAUUUCUAUAAGAGCUGUCCUUAAAUUACCUUUGAUGACAUGAGUACAUGUACAAGGACUGGAUAAGAAGUUAUUUGUCCAGAGUCACCAUUUAUAGUUCCCCCAUACAUCUGGAAGUCCAUCUGUGUGCACGACUUUUAUGAGAUAGUCACAUGACAGUAUCUGUGUGUGCACUGACACCUCUCCUGAGCCAUCUUUUCUCUGCCUCCAUAGUUUCACAUCCUGCACUGAAUGUGCAUCACUUAAUUAUGCAAAACUAAAAUAAUGUGUGGUUGUGAUCAUUUUAUGUCACACAUCAUUCCUCCACUGAACAGAGACAGACGGGGCAUUCUGCUCUAUGUGAAGAACUACAACCCGAGGACCCCAGGGCAGCAGAUCAGAAUUCUUCUUCAUGGGCCAGUUGGAAGUGGAAAGUCCAGUUUCAUCAACUCUGUUAACUCUAGUCUCUUACAUGAAAGACCGUACACCAACGCUUUAGCAAACCACAACUCCAGCAAAAGUUUUACCAAAGUGGUAUGACAACUUUUUGUUGAAACAUAUAGAAAAUGUCUCAAAUAUAUAAUGAUAAUGAAAAAUCUACUAACUCCCAGUGCAUGCCUUUUGUCACAGUUAUCUUUACUUAGAGAUAUUCCUGAAAUUUCCUGGUCUCUAUAGGAUCACUGUGUUCAUAUCGGAUUUAGUUGUAAAAUAACUGAGGCCCUUUUAAAUAGAUUUUUAACAGUUUUCUAAAUACCUCAGGGAAAAUCAAAAAUGUCAGGAGUUUAUUUUCCGAGGGGGCCAGCUUGAGACCACAAAGAGUGAGACAAAUAUACAGGAGGUGCUUACCAUCAAAUGUAAAUCAUGGAUGUGACUUCAGUCAACAGUUUCUGGUCUCCUGUCUUGUUCUAUGGUUUUCAAAUUCUGUCCAAAUAUGAACAAAGUUUGGUUACAGUUUGUCUCAGUAUACAACCCCAGUUCAAAAAAGUGAAUACAACAUGUGAAAUUUGAUCAAAAAUAGGUUUCGGACAAGACAUCAACGCUGAUACUGAAAUAUUCGAUCAUUUGAUGAAAAAUAUGCUGGUUUGUUUUGAAGUGUGAUGCUAGUUUUACAUUGAUACCAAUGCCUCGCAGGAAUUUUAUUUGAAUUGCAUCUUUGGGAAUAGCUGUAAUGAGAAAAAAGUUGACGCGUUCAAUACUUAUUUUCCCCAUUGUAGCUGAAAAGUUUCAGAAUAAUGUCCCUGAGUGUCAAAUUUGAAAGAAUGAGUGGAUUUCAUUAUCUACACUGCAUAAUAUCAUUGGCUCUUGUAGUAUACCAUCUUUAUUUUCUCGAAAGUCAUGUUUUACCACAUGUAUGGUGUCUUUUUUUUUUCACCUCACCAUUUUACACUGUGUACAAUGCACAUUAAGACCAGUGAGACAGGAAGAGAAAGUAAAACUAAAACUGACAGGAUAGGAAAUCUUGUGGGUGUGACAAAGUUUAACCAAAUUGCGUAUGUACAUUUCUCAGACUUCAGAAGAGGACACAUGAAAGUAGAGUCUGAAAAAACAAAAGUUUCACUGAUACAUCUGAGUUUUUUGUGACCCAGAACACCAUCCACGGUAAGACUUUUCUGUUGUUUUCUUCCUGAGACUUGGAUUUGUCCUUGUCCUAUUUUGUUGUUCAAAAUUAAAUUUAAGCUUGAAGCUUUGAGGAAAUCCAUCUUAGAUAAAUUAGAGUAAAAUUUGGCUGGAAGACAAAGUUAAAAAAAAAAUAAAAAAUACAGUUUCUGUAACACUGUUGAGUCUUCCAUAAGAGCUUAAGUUAAGUUCAGCAAAAUGUUUGAAGUCAAAAAUACAAUGAAAAAGUCAAAAGAAUCCUAAUUAUAUGAUGGUUGGUAAUUAUUGUAAGAAAAAUGUCAUAAAAGGUCAAAAUAAAAGGUAGUAAGUCACAGCUGUAAGAUGGUAAGUUAAGAUUUAAAGUCAUAAUCAUGAAAUAAAUUAAAAGUUAUAAGAAAAACUAGGAAGAUGUCACAAUCAAAAGACAAAUAUAAUGAUAUGAAAGAAAGUCAUAAUAUCUUCAUCAUUCUGAAAAGAUUUUUCAGAAUUAUCAGAAAAAAAAACUAUAACAUUGUCAUAAAAUUGUAAGUUACAAUCAUGAAAGUAUGUCAUGAUUAUAACAAACAGAGUCAGAGUUAUAAGAGAGAACAUUGUGAUUAUAAGAAAAGUUUAAAUUAUGAAACAUUUUGAUGAGCCUGUGAUCAAAUCAAAUUUACAGACUGUUCAUGAAAACAAAGACUGUCUGAAUAAAAGGGUAUGUUUGAUUAUCAAAUUUAAUGAAGAUGUCUCAGAGCUGAAACUUUUAGAGAGGACUUCAGCAGUUUACACAGAGAUGUCCUGAACUGACUUUUAUAUGAUUUGGCACGAAAAAUAAGAUGUCACAUUUUGCUGUUUCUAUCCUAAAAAGUCUGUGUAGAUGAGACCUUAGAUUUUCAACAGCAUUUACAGAGGCUGGCAGCUUAUUUAAAUUCUACUGAUCUGAAGAACAGCUUUACUUUUACUUUCAUUUUGACUCUGGAGCUUAUUAUCUUGACGACCAUUCACCAGUGUGUCUUUAAAUGGUCACGUAACACCAAGAGUGAUUACACAGAGCCGAAGGAAAAGAGAUGUUAUCAAACAGUUUUUCAAAUGAACUUUGUUUGAGAGCCAGGGCAUCUUUUUAAAGUGCACUUUCUAUUUGCUACCUGCAUGUUCAGGAAUGCUGUUAAACUCAUUUACCUUUUAUUUCAUUGAUCAAUUUAUUUGUACAGAAAGAGGACAGGAAAGCACUCACAGGGUGAUGUUUUGGAAUUUUUUCAAAUGUAACCCAGAGAUUUCUUUAAAGGAUUUUUUUUCAUAGUUUUUCAGGCUAAUUAUGAUUUUCAGGAAAUACAAGCAAGUAUUUACUUUUUUUUUUCUCUGCAGCCAUGGGAAGGCUGUUUUCAAAACCUGAUCCGGAACCAUGUAAUAUUAUUUUUGAAUAUUAAAUAAAUCUUUUAUCAAAAUACAAUUUUAUUGGAAAAAUUCUGACUAAAACUAAAAUUUGUUUCUCUUUCAGUGUUCAGUGAGCCAUGGCGGCAACUCAACUGGAGGUAAGUGCUCUCUAAUGUGCUAUUUUCCUUAAUCACUGGGUGUGUGAUUUACAAAGUACCAGUGGAUAUACAAAACCAAAUCCUGACAGCAAAGGGUUAAUUUUUUUGGGUUCAUUCUGAGUUAAGAUCUGUUUUUUUUUUUUUUUUUUGUUGUUGUUGUUUUAACUCUUUUGUUUAUUCCUUUGCUUUCUUUUUAUGUAUGUCUGUUUACUUUGGAAAACACUUUUUAAACCUUUUUGAAAGGUGCAGUAUAAAUUCAUUAAUUAUUAGUAUUAUUAAUAUUACCAUUAUAAUUACUAUAACUGUUAUUAUUAUCCCUGUAAUUACUCAGCUACCAACUAAAUACAAAAAUAAGCUAGCUCCAAGAAUUGAUUCAGAGAUGAUUUUGUUGGUCUAAAAAUGAUUCACUUAUACUCCUUCAGUUUUAAUGUUUGGUGCUAGUUCAUGCUCACUGCACACCUCUCUCUUUUCAUACUUGUGUCUCUGCUUUUAUGUUUUGUGCAAACACCUGCUUCCUCCCCCCUGCUGUCCUCUCCUCACACAUGGCUGCAUGACAGUUUUGUUAAACCAGUCUGUCCACCUUUUGCAAUAUCUUCUACUUCCAUGUGCACACAACUCUGCUGCACAUUUAUCUGAGCUGAUAAAAAGUGAAAAUGCUACGAAGAUUUUAAAAAGGAUAGGUCUGAGUUAAAGAUUUUUCUUUUUGCAAGAAGGAGCAGUCACAAACAGAGAUUCUGUAAGCAAGUGCUCAGAGGACUGUCCUCUAAAUUAUUUUUUUAGACACAGGGCGUGACAAGUUAACACGAGUCAAAUUGACAGCAUGCUCAUCCAUGAUAAGCUGCAUCUCUCAGGGUCAGAGCAGCAGAUAUCGACAGUAACAGUGUGUUGCACAGUAUACUUCUAUAAGAGCUGUUCUUAAAUUACCUUUGAUGACAUGAGUACAUGUACAAGGAUUGGAUAAGAAGAUAUUUGUACAGAGUCACCAUUUAUAGUUUCAACAAAGUAAAUGUUCAACAUCACAAUGCAAAGAAACUCUUUGCAGUCUGUUCAGCACAAUCCAAUAAGAGUAACCAAGCCCCAAUACAUCUGAAUGUCCAGCUGUGUGCACGACUUACAUAAAACACAUAAGAAUUGGAAAAGCACUCAGAGAGCGCAGACCUCCGCCAAGCAGCUCAUGUCCCCCCUUAUAUUGUGAUUCACACAGAAACUUUUACCAUUACGUGUCUUUUAUUAACUUUUAUUUGUGUUUAAACUGGUAUGUUCACUGUUCAUAAUGUUCCUAAAACAACAAAGCUCAUAUUAGAUACAUAAAUGCAUGAUUUAUUAUGCAAUAUUUGUAAGCGUACACUUCCUUGUAUCUUCAUUGGUUAUCUUUCGACGCCCUUAUUUUUGUGUGUUCUGGAUCACAGCAUCCGGAAUUUUGUCUGGAUCAGGAUCAACCUUUGACACUUCAUAAAACUCAUUGAGAUCCUUUUGUGUAAUUUUUUACUUAAGACUCUGGACAUUUUUAUAGAGUAAAAUGCAGAAAUUCCAAAAUUUGCCCGAUCUCACAAUGAUAAAGAAUCCUUCAAAAAAUUCCUGGAUCCAGAAGGCGAUCCGGAUCACCACCAAAAUUGGAAAUCCUCCUGGGGCUGAGACGCACCUCUGGUGAAAAUUUCAGGUCAAUCCGUCACUUUCUCCUUAAAGUUGCUAACAGACAAACAAACAAACAAACAAACAAACCAAUGCUACCAAAAACAUAACCUCCUUGGCGGAAGUAACUAAUGUGGGACUUUUAUGAGAUAGUCACAUGACAGUAUGUGUGUGCACUGACAUCUCUCCUGAUCCAUCCUUUCUCUCCCUCCAUAGUUUCACAUCCUGCACUGAAUGUGCAUCACUUAAUUAUGCAAAACUAAAAUAAUUUGUGGUUGUUAUCAUUUUAUGUCACACAUCUUUCCUCCUCUGAACAGAGACAGACGGGGCAUUCUGCUCUAUUUGAAGAACUACAACCCUAAGACCCCAGAACAAGUGAUCAGAAUUCUUCUUCAUGGGCCAACUGGAAGUGGAAAGUCCAGUUUCAUCAACUCUGUUAACAUUCUCUUACGUGAAAGACUGUGCACCAAGGCUUUAGCAAACCACAAAUCCAUCAAAAGUUUUACCAGCAAGGUAUGAUGACUUUUUGUUGGAACAUAAAGGAAAUGUCUCAAAUUUGUAAUGACAGUGACAGGUCUAUAAACUCCCAGUGCAUGCCUUUUGUCACAGUUAUCUUUACUUUUAUUACUUAAAGGGAUGGUUUAGUUGUUUCCAAGUGUGGUCAUUUUAGGUUCUCGUCAUUGGUCAGUGUAUUUGCCAAAGGGAUCCCAGUGACUUGGGCCCCCUUUGCUGAGAUACCAAACAGAGAACUACUGCAGGUGGGCUCAGCUCCACCAAGUGAUUUCAAUCAUUUUAAUCCCCAACCAAAGCACUGUUUUGGUGUCCACCAUAGGUGAGACAUCAAAUUCACCUCAAAAUAAAAGAUAAUGGAGGUAAAUGUGUUUACUUUAUUUAAUGGAUGCUGACAAAAAUAUCUAAAAGAAAUCCUGUAUGGGAAAAAAGAUGCAUUGGUUAUUGCAAUGGUUGUUAAAAUUGAACUGUGAUCAAAUCAUUAGGUUCCUAAAAUGGCUCACCCUAACCAAUAACACUCUCCUCCAUUUGUCUUUAAUAGUACAAAACCUUCAGGACCGACAAUGGGACCUCAGGAGAAUAUUACCCUUUUGUGUUCAAUGACAUCAUGGGCCUGGAAAACAUUGGAGGGGUCCAUCCAGAUGAUGUCAAACUGGCUCUGAAAGGACAUGUCAUGGAAAAUUACGAGGUACAUUUACUGCAAACUUUGCACAUUUUUCUUCCAAAAAGAUUUAUAUGCAUCAUUUAUUAAAUCAGAAUUCUGUCUUAGUUAACAUGUUUUUCACUGUAAUGUUCUUCAAAUGAUUUUAAAACUGUUUUCCAGUUCAAUCCUGAAUCCAAGUUGACUGAGGAGAAACCGUUCUUUGUCCAAAAUCCAUCUGAGAAUGACAAAGUGAAUGUUCUGGUUUGUGUUGUUGAUGCCAACAAAAUGUCCAUAAUACAUGAUGAAACUCUGAAAAAGUUUCGUGACAUCAGGGAGGAAGCCAGUCGCCUGGGUAAGAACAGAAAAGCUUUUCCAAUAUUUUUCUCAAGAGUUAGAUGAACUUUGCAAAAAAACACACAGUUUAAUCUUCGACAGAUCUUCAAACAGUUCCACUAGCUGAUUUUGAUUUAUGUAUCUGGAGAAGAACAGUGGCUUUUGAAAUGUUUUUUUUUCUCUCAAGGGAUUCAAAGUUUUGUGUUUGACAGACAUCCCUCAAGUGGCCAUCCUCACCCACAUUGAUGAGGUCUGUCCUGAAGUCAAGAAAGAUUUAAAAAACGUCUACAAGUCCAUCUUACUGAAGAAGAAGGUAUGCUUACUUGUUGAUUUCAUGGUUUUGUAAAGAAGGAAUCACACUUUAAAAAGUAGUCUACAACUAAGACACCAAUGGGCUCCUUCGCUCAGCACUGAUUUUUUCACACACUGCACUGCAGUCAAAUCAGGUGAUGCAAAAAUAAAGAAGAUUAAAAACUACAAUUUAUACAAAUAAAUCAAUAAUAAUGAAAAAAAUGUUUUUAUGUUUUAAAACCAAAGUUGAUGAAAUGCUUUGACAGAAAAACCCUUGCCCUCCCGAAGCAGAUCAUUCCACAGACCUUAGUGGGCACAAGUUCAUUUGAUCCAAGCCAGAUCUGAAUCUGUGUCCUCUAGUCAGGAUGACAGGAAGAGCUCAGUAUCAUCUGCAUAGCAGUGAUAUGAGAAUCCAUGAGUUUUGAUUAGUGCAUUUAGAUUUUGUAUGUAGAGAAAAGGAGGGGACCAAGAACUGACCCUUGAAGCAUCCCUGUUGUUGGGCACUGUGGUUUGGACUUCUCCUCUUUGUGAUACCCUAAAAGACCUAUUACGAGGCGUAUUACUAUUUUCAUGAAGUAGUCAAAGAGAUCAAGAGAUGUCUGAAGACAGCAAUGCCACACGAUGGCGACAGAAGGCAGCUCCUCAACAAGUGUCGCUGCACUGGGCGUCCUCCACACUCUCUCAUGUAAGCAAAGAUGGAUUUGGUGUGUGGAAUGUUGGAGCCACUAGUAAGACAAACAUCGCUUUCCAGAAAUAAAGACACUCACAUAAAGUUGCACAUAUUCAAACCUCACAAAGGUGGGUUGUGCACACAGAUCACAACAUAAAUUCCAAAAAUGGCAUUAAAAUCGGAACCAUCUGUGCGUAAUGACGCAUCCCGCUCCAUGGUCUGGCUCUUUCUUUCAUAGAUGUUGGCAUGUAAAAUAAAUUUGGCCCACAAAACUGAAUAUUAUAAUAUCCGUAUGUAGGCUUAAAGUACACAAUUCAUCUGAUUACUAAAAUAAAUCAUCCGCUCAGCAGCCGCUGCAGCAGCUGCAGCAGGACAGGGAGAGGACACGGAGACAUGUCCAGGUCGAGAAACAAGAGGAAGAGGAAGAAAGAAAAGGAGGGAGACGAAUUACAUAUCUAGUUAACUUCAUUAUGUGUGUCUAUUUACUAGAUAUUUAAUUUAAUUUAAUGCGGUUUCAGCUGUGUUGAUUCGGUCAGGUUGUGUGUCCAAACGCGUGCCAAACGCACUCAUCAGAUCAGAUAUAGAUCAGAAUGUAUAGAUCUAAAUGUAUGUGCUGACUCAGAUUAUUAGUUGUUGAUGAUUAUUUAUUGCACUGAAAUGUGCCUGACACUGUGGAAACCUGCCGGUGAGGCAUCAGUGACGUAUGCCAAUACGCCACCGGUCUACCAAAAUACUACUAGACCAGCGCCACCUGUGCUGAAAGCUGACCAGGAUUGAAUCGGCGAGCUUUCAGCGCACUUUAUACAACGGUGGCAAGCACAAAAAUGUCACUGCGCCAGCUGAUUCUGUUGACACCUCCCCCUGCCAUGCCACCACGCCCAGCUUGGCGGAUCUCGGUGCGCUUCAGUCCACAAAAAUACCAAACUGGCUGUACGCCGGGCUCCGCCAGACAAAAAUACCACUGCACAUGGUCCGCCGCCUCACCGGUGUACACGAAAAUAGAGCCCUCUGAUUGGCAGUGACUGUCCUGAUGAGACCAACCAAGAAACCAGAGACAUGUAGUUCAGAUCCAGUCUUUAUUUGAGACCAGUGUUUUUCUGUCAAAACAUGCAGCGGCACCGGACUAGUAUCAUUGAUACAGUGUUGAAUUGAAUAGAUGAAUGAAACAGCCAUCCUAAAUCAGGUCUCAUCACUUCUUGUUUUAAAGAAAGGUCACUGCUCUUCCUUCUUUAGAAUUCACUAUCAGCUGCUCAUAUUUUAAAUCUGUUUAACUAGAUGGAGGAGUUCAGUGAAAGGGUGGGGAUCCCGAUGUACUGCAUCUUCCCUGUGAAGAACUACCAUGAUGAGAUUGACAUCAACAAUGACAUUGAUGUUCUGCUCCUGAGUGCUCUGAAAAACAUCAUCCACUUUGGAGAAGACUUCCUUAACCCCUAACUGCAGUAUUCAGCUGUGUGAUCCAUGCUUUUGAAACCCACAGGGCUAAAUGUUAAAUAUAAUGACCAUGUAAGAUAAUAUUGAAUCAUUGUUUUCUGAAGUGACUCUGUGCUGUGGGCUAGAGUUGAGCUUUAUGUGAUCAGCUUAGCAAACUUUUUUUUCUGCUUUCAGUGAGUUUAUAGUUAUCUCCUGCUUCUGUGAUUUUAACUCUAUGAAUCUUUUUAAAAAGUGCAAAAUUUGAUUUCAAAUGUAUUCAAGACUUUGCAUUCACGAUAAGAAACAGGCCACUCUGUGCUGAAUUCUGUCUUACAUUUGUCUUUAUUUUUGGUGUCAAUGAGUAAAAUCUGAUUUUUUUAUGUUAUUGCACCGUGAGUUACAUGUUAAAACGUUUUCAAAAGAUGGUAAGAAUAUCUUUUUCUUAGGUUUGUAAUGACCUUCAUGAUCUCAGACUUGUUUCAGAAUAAAUAUAAAAAUAAGAACUUUAUUAUUCCCCAAAGGGAAAUUCAA
rnacentral:lncRNA from 1 species